AUGAUCGUGUUUUCUGUAUGCCAAGUUGAGAGGUCUCGCACCCAUACUAUCUGCUGCGCAGCUUGGCCUCGACCACCGUCGAUCAUUGCCCCCUCCUUGUGGAUUUUGUUGCUGCUUGGGAUUCUGAGGAGCCGGAUCCGGACCCCUUUCGUUGUAUCUACUUGUGCCUCAAGUUCAUGGCAUGAUGUCUUCAAAGUUGGAGCACGCGCUCCAUCAACAAUAUCUCUCUUCACCUGCUGCUUGCGCACGAUCUCAUCGCUCGAUCUUGAUGGGGUGCAAGACAAGAGGCCCCUCUCGCUUGAGGAGGCAUGGCUACGGCGCAAACUGAAGAUGGCUUAUUUGGGGCUAGCCUCCCUCGAGCAUUCCAUCGCUCGGCAAUGGGUGCACUUCUACUGGCUCCGCACGGGGGGUGGGGUGCAGGGACACUAUAACUAUGCUUUUUUCGAGAUCUAUGUGUCUCAUCUUGGAUUGUAA
rnacentral:rRNA from 1 species